rnacentral:lncRNA from 10 species
UUUGUAUUUUUAGUAGAGGUGGGUUUCACCAUGUUGGUCAGGCUAAUCUUGAACUUCUGAGUUCAAGUGGUUUGCCCACCUCGGCCUCCCGAAGUGCUGGGAUUACAGGUGUGAACCACUGCACCUGGCCCCAUUCUUAUCAGAUUUAACCUUCAGUGAGAUUUCUCUCGUUCACUCUGUCUGAAGUUGCUCUUCCUCUGAUUCCUCUCCCCUUAAUGUGUUUUUAGUUCAUGGCACAUAACACAAUCUGAAUUUUCCUUAUCAUUUACUAUUGUUUUUUCCUUCUUGGAAUGUAAGCUCAUUAAGCCCAGACAUCUUGUAUAUAUUUAGUCAUGCCUGUAUCCUCUUGAUAAAUCCAUGGGAUCAAAUAGUGUCCCUUGAAGCAUCAUCACAUGCAAAUAAAAUGACGGUGCAGUUAACCUCUACUAUAACAAGGACCUUCAGGAAGUAUUCCAGAAGAAGGCAUUGUUAUCAUAGGAGAUGACAGUUCCGGUUGUGUUGUUGCCCCUGAAGACCUUCCAGUCAGACAAGAUAUGGAGGUGGAAGACGGAUAGUAAUGAUCCUGACCCUGUAUAGGCCUAGGCUAAUGUGUGUGUUUGUGUUUUCAUUUUUAACCAAAAAGUUUAAAAAGUUAAAAAAAAAUUUCUUUUAAAUAGGAAGAAAAAAGCAUAUAAAAUAAGGAUAUAGGAGCUGGGCCUGGUAGUGUAUGCCUGGUAGUCCCAACUACUUAGGAGGCUGAGGUGGGAGGAUCCCUUGAGCCCAGGAGUUUGAGUCCAGCCUGGGUAACAUAGAGAGAUCCCAUCUCUAAGAAAAAGAAAAAAUAUUCUGGUUAGCUGUACAGUGUGUUUGUG